rnacentral:rRNA from 1 species
GGAUCAUUACAGAGCUGCAAAACUCCCUAAACCAUCGUGAACGCUACCUAAACCGUUGCUUCGGCGGGCGGCGCCCUCGCGCGCCCCCCCUGGGGCCCGCACCGCGGGCGCCCGCCGGAGGUACACCAAACUCUUGAUAUGUUAUGGCCACUCUGAGUCUCCUGUACUGAAUAAGUCAAAACUUUCAACAACGGAUCUCUUGGUUCUGGCAUCGAUGAAAAACGCAGCGAAAUGCGAUAAGUAAUGUGAAUUGCAGAAUUCAGUGAAUCAUCGAAUCUUUGAACGCACAUUGCGCCCGCCAGCAUCCUGGCGGGCAUGCCUGUUCGAGCGUCAUUUCAACCCAUCAAGCCCACGGCUUGUGUUGGGGACCUGCGGCUGCCCGCAGGCCCUGAAAACCAGUGGCGGGCUCGCUAGUCACACCGGGCGUAGUAGCAUACGACCUCGCUCAGGGCGUGCUGCGGGUUCCAGCCGUAAAACGACCUUCACAACCCAAGGUUGACCUCGGAUCAGGUAGGAGGACCCGCUGAACUUAAGCAUAUCAAUAAGCAGGAGGAA